rnacentral:rRNA from 1 species
GACUACCGGGGUAUCUAAUCCUGUUUGCUCCCCACGCUUUCGUGCCUGAACGUCAGUAAUGGGCCAGGAAGCCGCCUUCGCCGCCGGUAUUCCUCCUGAUAUCUACGAAUUUCACCUCUACACCAGGAAUUCUGCUUCCCUCUCCCAUACUCGAGCCACAUGGUUUCGAGCGCAUUUCCCGGGUUGAGCCCGGGGCUUUCACGCCCGACCUGCGUGGCCGUCUGCGCACGCUUUACGCCCAGUAAAUCCGAGCAACGCUUGCACCCUCUGUAUUACCGCGGCUGCUGGCACAGAGUUAGCCGGUGCUUUCUUGCGAGGUACCGUCAGGGUUUCCCCUUCUUCCCUCCCGACAGAGCUUUACAACCCGAAGGCCUUCAUCACUCACGCGGCGUGGCUGCGUCAGGCUUUCGCCCAUUGCGCAAUAUUCCCCACUGCAGCCCCCCGUAGG